rnacentral:rRNA from 1 species
UUAAUUAAAUUUAUAUUUAUUAUAUUACACGAAACUAAAGGAGCUAGUUUUUUAAUUUAUUAGAUAUACAGGUGUUGCAUAACUUUAAAGAUUUUAAAUUAGGAGUGAUAGACUUAACAUAUUCAGUGAUAACUUGAUUACUAAUAAAGGUAUUAGUACGUAAACACUUUGGAAAUGAUAAGGUUUUCAAAUGGAAUUAAUUAUGAUGAGAAGAAUAUAUAUGGUUUAAUCAUUUAUGUAAUAAUAAAAUAUAAUUAUAUUUUAUAAAUUAUUUAAAAUAUUAGUGAAUGUUAAAAUUAUUAUAGACAAAUAUAAUGUUAAUAUUAGUAGCAAUUAAAUAUUAUUAAUGAACUCGGCAAAAGUCCUUUAACUGUUUAUCAAAAACAUAGCCAUAUGUAUAAAUAUAUGGUGAUUUCUGCUCCAUGAAGUUUAAAUAGCCGCAGUACCCUGACUGUGCAAAGGUAGCGCAAUCAAUUGGCUUUUAAUUGAAGUCCUGUAUGAAGGAAAAUAUAAGGGGCUACUUUAUCAAUAAUAAUGCACGAAUUUACUAAUUAAGUGCAAAUACUUAUACUUAAAUAAUAGACGAGAAGACCCUAGAAAUUUUAAGAAUUAGUCUUUUUGUUGGGGCAACAAAGUAGUAAAAUAUAACCUACUAUUGAUACAUGAAAGAUAUAACUUGUUAGAUUAAAUUACUCUAGGGAUAACAGCAUAAUCAAUGAAAGUUUGUGACCUCGAUGUUGGACUAGGGAAUUAAUAUUUAGAAG